ACUUUUCAGGUAAAACAUCUGAGAGGGUUGCACAAUUUGCAACAUUUGACCAGAGUAGCUACGAGGGAAAUCCUUUGCUGUGUGGACUGCCACUGCCGAAGAGUUGCAAUAACACAUCUCCACUGUCACCUGCAACUCCAAUAGAAGAAAUUCAUGGACAUGGGUGUUUUCUAUGUGAGCUUUGUGGUGUCGUACAUCAUAGGUGUUGCUAGCAAUAGCAGCAAUUCUAUACAUAAAUCCAUACUGGCGACGAAGAUGGUUUUACUUCAUAGAGACGAGCGUUGUCAAAUGCUACUGUUUUCUGGUGGACAAUAUUCCUCUGCUAUCCAAAUUUAGAUUUUCAAAGAAUUGAGGAUGUAAAAGUUCAAUGCUUGAUUAUUUGUGUUUUCCAGUAUUCAAUUAAUUGCAUUUUGUUCUUGGAUUUCUAUGAUCUGUAAUUGACUUGAGCUAAUUUUUGUUUGAAAUAUAAUUGCUGGACACUAUCACUGUUACCUUUUUAAGUUGUGAUUAGCUUCUUCAUGGAUGAGACUAGUAAAAACAAAUUAUUCAAAACAUUGUUAAUAUCUCUAUUUUCGGUGUGUCAUUUAUUUGUUGUUGGUUGCAGUACUUGGCUAGUCUUGCUGUUCCUUUUUCUUUUCUUUUUUUGGAUGAAGCUAGUUCUAUUAAAAAUCUAGAAAAAGCUUAGCAUAUGGCACACACUGCCGUUGCUUUUUCUAUGGUUGUCGCAGAACUUGCUACUGUUUAGGCUUUGUUUUUGCCCUGAUUCUUUAUGUUGCAUAACUUGGUCCUUGUUUUAUUAUCUUUGGGUCUGCUUAACCUUGAGUCCCCAAUAGCAGAUUGCUUGUAAUUUGUAAAUUCUAUUAAAAAAUGUUUUUUUGCAAUUACAAGACAAUUCUUAUCGAAUUAAUAAAUUGAAAAUUUUUGAUAUUGUAUGUUAUUUCAAAAAAAAAAAAAAUUCAUAUAUUUCCAGACACAUUUAUCAAGAUUUUCAUCAUAAUGAUACCUUAAUCCCAAGUAUUCUUUACAUUGAAUUUUGUUUAUAGUAUUAUUUAUCUACGGUAAUUUAGAAUAUAUAUCCUUAUCUAAUACUGUUGAAAAAUAGGAAAAAAAAACCUAUAUUAUAAUUAUUUUAAAAAAUACAUUAAAAUAAGAGAGUGAAUAAAAUGAUAAAAGAAAGUUAAAGAUUUAUAAAAUGAAAUUGCAAGUAAAGGUCUCCUUAAAAAUUAAAAGGAUGAAUAAUGAAAUAAAUAAUUUUUAUAUCAACCGGGUUGUGAACGGGUUUGGAGGUUCUAAUCGAAUAAAAAAUCGUAUGAAUGGAUCAAUAUUGUAGGAAUUGAGACAUCAAAAACUGAAUUUAUUAAAAUAUUUUAUUUUAAUUCUGAUUUUUUUUUGUUAAGAAUCAUAUCAAAAAAUCAAUUAUAUAUAUAUUUUUAAAAAUUUUUUAAUAAUGUUAUGUUUUUAUCAUAAUAGUUUUAAUAAUAUGUUUUAUAUAUAUAUGUUUUAAUAUAAUCUUAUAAAUUUAUAUUAUCAAAAUUAUAUGGUUAUAUUUAAAGAAUUUAAAUAUUAAUUGUAUAAUUANNNNNNNNNNNNNNNNNNNNNNNNNNNNNNNNNNNNNNNNNNNNNNNNNNNNNNUAUUUAUGAAUUAUUUGAGAUUUAAUAAAAAUUUAAUUCUAGUGUACUAUCUCUUUGAUUAUUUUUAUAUUUAAUAUUAUUAAUUUAUUUUUAUAAAUUAAAUUAUUCAGAUGAUUUAAAUAUAAUUUUUCAUUAAUUAUUAAACAGUUAUUAACAAUAGUAUAAAAUAAUUAUAUACUUUAAUUAAUUAUUAAAAAAAUUUAACAAUAUAAUUUAAAUAAUUUAAUUAAUUAAUUAUAAUUUCUUCUAUUUAAAGAGAUUUUGCAUAUGUGUGUUUAUGCGUAUAUGUAUUUAUUAUUUCAACUAAAAAUAUUUUAAUUAUUUUAUAUUUUUAAUUAUAUGAAUAAAUCACAUAUUAAUAAAUAUAAUAUGUUUUUAUAAAUUAAUUAUUUUUUUCAAUUGAAAUUAGAGGUGUAGAACCUAAAAUUUUUUAGAUUUAUUCGUAUGUGCUUACCACGAAAUUAAAUCUGUGAGUGUUAUAAAUUAAUUAUAUAUACAUAUUUAAUUAAAAUUAUAUAAAUAAUAAAAUAAUAUUUUUAUUAAGAAUUAUAUGUAAUAUAUAUUAAUAUUGAUACUUAUUUAAAUGUUAGUAUUAUUAUUUUUAUUAUUAUUAUUUGUAAUAUAUAUCUAUCAAGUUUUAAACUUGUAAGUGGUGAUUCAUCCCUCCUAAUUUUAAAUAUUAAAAAUUUCAUCAUCGUUGUGAUUAAUUGACUUGAGAAAAAAAAUUUAAAUUUACAAAUUUGCUGGCUAUCAUUAGUAUGAUAAAGUUUUAGGUCUCAACAACUAUUAGAUUCUGAUACUAUAAAAAAGAAAUGGAAACAAAAAGUUUUAGAAAAAAAAACUAAAAAAAAAAUAGAAAUCUUGUAUAUGAACUUUAUUGGAUCACAGGCUUUCUUUUUAUACAUAAAUUCAGCCUUAGCUUAAUUGAUAUGAGCUAACACGUGAAUGAAGUUGAAGUAACAAACUGACUAAUAGGCUGAUUAACUAACUAACAGCAAUAGUUUUCUCAUAUUACAAUUAUAACGCUACAAACAAUAAAUAUUUAAUGAUAACCUCUCAAAAUAUAAUCUGCUCUUGAUCAUGUCACUUAUAUCCUACCACAGCAUCCUAUCCUAAGUAUGUCUGAGCAGUGGCUUAGGGAGGGCAGCAAACUUAAAUUUCAAUAUCAAGAAGUUUAAAAGGAAUCAAAAUGGUCUGGGUUUCUCAGUGUCCUAAUUAUGAAUGCCCUAUCACUUAAUCUCUUGAAUGCUUGUACAAAACAUUAAAUAUCGCAAUGACUUAACAUGUAUCAGAAAAAAGUAUAAUUUUAACUAAUUUAGUAUUAAUAAAUCAAUUAGUCAACAAUUAAUAAAUCAAUUGAAAAGUUAUUUUGAAAAGGUAUAAUAAUAUGUUUUGAAGGAAUAUGAGCUAAACAUAUCUAUACGAUUGGAAGCAUAAAUAUCGCUGUCCAAAUCAAAAAGGGAAUUUUUUUUUUUCAUUCACUUUUCUACAACUUAUAAAUCUUAAACCUCUUAAAUAUUUUAUAUCCAUAAUUAUUACUACUCUCAUUUACUAAGCUCGUUCAUAAUAUUUACUAUCCAAAUUUUUAACUUACUAAGCUCAUCCAUAAUAUUUACUACCCAAACUUUUAAUGAGACUAUAUGUCUUAAUCUGAUUAUUUAUGAAUUUUUGAGUUAUCAUAUAAGUUAAUUUCAAUCUCUAUGUGUGAAAUUUUUAGUAAGGUAUUGUAAAAGAGUUGGCUUGAAGUCAAAGUCUCUUAUAAAAGAACAAAACAAAAAUGAUAACAGUUUUCAUGGAUAAUAAAAAAAAUAUUGCUUUCUUGUGGAAAAUAAUGGCAUUUGUUAAUAAAUAUAAAGUGGAAGACGAGGAGAAAGACUUGGACUUUUGGCACAAAAUGAUAGCUUUAAAACCAAAUCACACGCUCAAUAAACUUACGUCAAUAAUAAAAAUAAUAAUUUUAUAUAUAAUUGAAUUAAAGUCUAGGUCUAUCUUAAAAAUUAAAAUUAAGAUCAAUAAUGGAGGGAGACCGAAGAAAAUAGUUGAGUAUACCAAAACAUCAUGCAAACCUCCAAAAAAAAAUAUUUCUGAAGACAUAUUUUGUGAUAAAAAAUAUAUUUAUUACUGAUAAGUAUAUAUUAUUUGAGACAAAAUUUUAUUUUGCCUUUAAAUGUAAUAUUAUUUAUUUAUAAUAAUUGAAUUUUUUAUAAAAACAUAAUUAAUAUAUUUUUUAUAAUUUUUUUCACUUUUUUCUUGAUCUGUUAUCCUAAAAUUAUUAUUCACUUUUUCAUAUUAUAAUAAUAUAUAAAUUAACUACACUAUAAUUCUAUUUAAUUUUAUAAUAUUUCUGAAAGAUCCUUCUAUUAAAUAUUAUUUUUUUAGUGAAUAUUUAAAAUAUAUUGUAGUAUUUAAUAAAAAUUAAUAUCUUUAAUAUGGAUAUAAUUAAAAGAAAAAAAAUGCUGCUUUCUUGUGGAAAUUGAUGGCAUUUGUUAAUGAACAUAAAGUGGAAGACGAGGAAGACUUGUACUUUUGGCACAAAAUGAUAGUUUUAAAAUCAAAUCAGACGGCACUCCAAGGCUUAGCCUGAUGGAAAGUGCAUCCUGUAGUCUUGAAAGGUCUAAGGUUCGACUCCCCCAACCCCCUAUUUCAAAAAAAAAAAAUCAAAUCAGACGCUCAGUAAACUUACGUCAAUAAUAAAAAUAAUAAUAAUUCAAAUUUAAAAUUAAGAUCAAUAAUGAAAGGAGACUGAGGAAAAUAGUUGAGUAUACCAAGACAGCACGCAAACGUCUAAGAAAAAAUUAGUAAUAAUGAAUUAAGAAAUAUUUUGGGAUAAAAAAUAUAUUUAUUAUUGAUAAGUAUUUAUUAUUUGGGGCAAAAAUAUUAUUUUGCCUUUAGAUGUUAUAUUAUUUAUUUAUAAUAAUUGAAUUUUUUAACAUAAAAACCUAAUUAAUAUACUCCAUUUUCUUAUAAUUUCUUUUACCUUUUCUUUUUUCUAUUAUUUUAAAAUUAUUGUAUAUUUUUCUUUUUUAUAUUAUAGUUACAUAUAAAUUAACUAUUGUAAUCUCAUUUAAUUUUAUACUAUUUCUAAAAUAAUCUUCCAUUAAAAAAAAAGUGAAUAUUCAAAAUAUAUUUUAAUAUUUAAUAAAAGCUAAUAUUUUUAAUAUAAGUAUAAUUAGAAUAUUAAUAAAAAAAAUUAUCUUUCUUAAUAUAUGUAAAAGAAUAAAGUGUAUAAUAAUUAUAGAAAAUAAGGAGUCUUAAGUUUUUAGAAGUAUCAGAAUUUCUAAGAUUUUCAUUUCUUAAAUCAUCAAAUUCGUGGGUACAAUACAUAGGCAUAUAAUAAUAUUUAAAAUUAAAAGUUAAUAAAAUUAAUGAACAGAACAUGAGAUUAUUAAUUCUAUCUCACUUGAAAUAUGCUAUAAAAAUUUCAUUAUUUUUACUCUAUUCUCACUCGUAGAAAUUAGAAGUUUAAGAAUGAGAAUUGCUUUCAAUGUGAAAUUAUGAAUAAAAUUAUAUUUGAACUUUUAUCAUUUCAUUACAUGUUUAGAUUUUUAUUUUCUAAAAAAAAAUUACUUUUUAUAUUAUUAAUAUUUGAUAACACUCAAUCAAAUACUACGGGUCCCUCUUAGAUGAGAAGUCUUGCAAUUUGUGGAAAAUGAUAACAUAUAAUUUUAAAUAUUACAAAAAUAUUAAAGACUUUGAUUAUGAUAGUUACAUCAGACAAAUUUAGAUAACUAAACAUUUUCAUUACUCCAAUAAAAUAUUUUAUAAAAAUUUAAUUUAUUAAUUAUUUAUAAUGAAAAAAUGAUAAUUUAGUUUUGAAAAGUUUAAAGGAGAUAAAAAUUAUGAAAAUUUAAAAUAUUAAUUUAUUUAAAAAAGGGAAAUCGCAGGACUGUUAGCAUAAUGACAAUUGACAAGUAAAAGAUUCCCAUGAAAAGAUGACUGAGAAAUGACAUCUUGCCGCGUGAAGACUUCUCCAGCUUUGCAGCAUGGAAUGGACUAUCAAAACCAGUCAGCACGGCUCUACCCCAGGCUAUAAUCCAAAAAAGAAUAUUUUGCACUUUUUUUUAAUAAUUAUAAUCUAUUUUAUUUUUAUUUUUAAUAAUAAAAAUUGAUCUUAAAUUAUACUUAUUAAGAAAAUUCAUUAUUAGAAUUGAUAAAAUUUGAAAUUUUUUUACAAUGAUCUCUUUUAGUUUUUUAUUAAAUAUUAAUUUAAAGUGUUGGUUAAUAUGAAGACAUGAUAUUUAAUAGUUAUUAAAUUAAAUUAAAAGAAAUGCAUUCAAAAUUUAAGAAUAUAUUAUUCUUUCUUUCAACAUACUUCUUUUUUUUUUAAAUUAUUCUUUCAAUAUACCAAUACCAUGUUUUAGAUAAUAAAGGUAUGCAAUUAAAAGAGAAGAUUUAGGAUUUAAUUGAUAUUAUUGUUAAAAUGAAAAUUUUUUAUUUUAAUUAACGUAAUUUCUUUUUUUUUUAUAUAAAAUUGACUUAAAAUUAAAGUUUUCUUUAAAAGUUAAACACUAUUCACAGAAAAUUAAUAGUUAAACAAACCAAACCAAAUAAUAAGACAUUCGUUUGAAAACUAUAUAAUAAUAUAUAUUAAACAUUAAAAUAAAAUUUAAUAAAUUCACAUUAAAAAUUAUAGGAUAAAUACUGGAUAACAGAAUGACGUGAAUUAUAAGUGAAACGAUAAAUUAAAUCUCUUUUGAAAAGAUAGCUCUCAGAAAUGUCAUCUUUGAGUAUAGAGAUUUUUCUUUUUUUUUUUUUUUUCUUAACUUGUAAUUAUUAGGCAAAAAUAAAUAAGUAAUAAGUAAUAGCUGGAGUGGACUAUAAAACCAUUUAGCACGGUUCAUUUGGUCUAUUUUUAUUAUUGAAUUAAGAGAGGUAUAUUUAAUUUUUAGAUAUUAUUAUUAUUAUUAUUAAAUUUAUUUUUAUAUUUCUAUAAAUUUAAUAAAAAAUCUUUAUUUUUAUUCAUAAAUAAAAUAAUUUUUUAUAUUUUAUUAAAAAUAAAAAAAUUCAAUUCAAUUUUACUCUCCAUAACCCCUUCUUUUUCUUUUUCUUAAUAAUUCAAUGUUUUUUCUUUUUCAAUAACUCAAUUUUUAAAAAUUAAUUUUUUUACUUUUUUUUCCAUCUCUUUUAAUAACUUAAUUUUUAAAAUUCAAUUUUUUUUACUUCUUCCUUUUUUUCGUUUUCGUAAUAAUUUAAUUUCUUUUUCCUUUUCAAUAACUCAAUUUUUAAAAAUUAAUUUUAUUGUUAUAGCUAAUGUGAUUAUUGUUAUCACUAUUAUAAUUUUAUCUAACCACCGUAAUUAUUUAGCUGCCAAUUGUAUUAAUAAUAACCUUUCGUAACAUUAUUAACAAGCCCACCACCGUUAUUCUACCGCCACAUUGCUAUAAUUACGAUUGCUAUCACUCUGCUCUUAUUUCUAUUACCACCGUUUGAUUACCGUUUCUAUCAUUAAUAUUACUCGAUUAUUAUUAUUAUUGUUUUAAAAAAAAAGUUUAAAGAAUAUGAAAAUUUAAAAUAUUAAUUUAUUUCACAAAAAUGAAACCGCAGGACUGUUAGCACAAUGAGAAUUGACAAGUCAACUCUCCCACGAAAAGAUGACUUGAGUAAUGACAUCUUGCCAUGUGAAGACUUCUCCAGCCUUGUAGAAUGGAAUGGGACUAUCAAAACCAGCUAACACGGCUCAUUUUUAAUAAUAAAACUGAUUUCAAGUAACACUUAUUAAGAAAAAAUUUACCAUAUAAUUAUUAAAAUUGAUAAAAUUUAGAAUUUUAAUAUUUUAAAUUUUUUUUGUAAUUAUUUUUUUAUUUAAAUAAAAUCAUUAAUUUAGAUUGUUAAUUAAUAUAAUGAUUGGCAUGACAUUUCAUUGUUAUUAAAUUAAAUUAAAAGAAAUAAUUCAAAUUAAUUUCAUUUUUAUCCACCUCUUUUUAUUAAUUUUAUUAAUAAUUAAGCAUUUAUUUUAAAAUUUUUAUAUAAUUAUUUUCACUAUAUUUAACUAAACUUAUUUAUUUUAUGUAAUUAUAAAUUUAUGAAAUAUUAUUGAAAACUAUAUAAUAAUAUAUAUUGAAAAUUAAAAUAAAACUUAAUAAAUUCACAUUAAAAUAUCAUUAUUAUGAUAGUAAUUUAAAAUGUUAUUAAAUAUCUAAAAUAUAUUUCAGUAAAUAAUUAUUUAUUUUAUACACAGAAAAUACAUAUUGUGAACUGUUUAACAUCAAGUCAAGGUCUCUCACUCUCAUGUUAAAAAAAAUAAAAUGAUAACAAUGACCAUAAAUUAAAAAAAAAAGUAAAUUAAAGAGAAUUUUCUUGUGGAAAAUAAAUGGAAGACUUUUGUAAUGGAAAAUGAUAGCUUUAAUAAGACAGAUGCUGUAUAUAAUAGGCAAAAGCUUGUGCAUUAAGAGCAAGUGAUACUAUCAACUAGCUACCAAUAUUAAAAAUGGAGGUGAUGAAGGUGUGCAUUAUGGUAUUAGCAAUGACGAUGGUUUUAUUAUUUCAAGGAGUUUGGUGCUCUAAUGAUUGUUGGGAGACUGAGAGAAUUGCUCUCUUGCAACUUCAGUCUCAUUUCAACUAUUCUCUUCAAAAUGAUUAUUAUUCUUUUCAAAAUAAUCCAUAUUUAUUCUUUUAUGAUUAUUCUAUAGAAAUUGAUAUUAUCAAGUGUUGUGAUUGGGAAAGAGUGAGGUGCAGUGCCACCACAGGACAUGUUAUCCAACUCAAUCUUAUGGAUAUAAGAGAUUUUUCACUAGAAACGUGGUAUCUAAACGCCUCUUUAUUUCUUCCUUUCCAACACCUCAACUAUCUUGAUUUAAGCGGAAAUUACAUUGCAGGUUAUUUUAAGAAUGAAGGUUUGUCUAUUUACAUCUAUAUUUUUCAUUAUGAUAAUUAUAAUUGCAUCGCAUUAAUCCAAAUUAAAUGAGUAUUUGGAAAUCCACCGAGUUGCAUUUCAUACAUUUUUUCUCUCUUUCUAUUUAUAUAUGAUUAUAAUUGAUUUUUAUAUAUGCAGGUUUUCAAAGGCUAUCCUCACUUGAGAAUUUGAAAUUUCUUAAUUUAGGUUUUAAUAACUUCAACAAUAAUAUUUUAUCAUCUCUAACUCAUCUCUCAUCUUUGAAAUAUCUAUAUUUAGAUUAUAAUCUCAUAAAAGGAAGAAUUAAUAUUAAAGGUGAGCAUACCUAACUAAUUUUCUCCAUUUUUAUAUGUCCACUCAUACUAUUAUAUAUUCUUAAUUAGUUACUCGUGAUGAGUGUAGAAUUGAACAGCUUCACAAAUUUAAAAAGUUUGAGUAUAGGGGGCAACGAAAUUGAAGGUUUUAAUUCUUUCAAUGGUAUGUAUAAUUAUUUUUUAUAAUAUUUUAUUUUAUUUUUUUAAAUAAGUAAAAUAAAAAAUUAAUGUAUAAAAAGUUUUUAUACAUAUGCAGGUGGUGAAAAAUUAUUAAAUAUGGACAAUCUAGAAUUUUUAGGCAUGCAUUACAAUUACCUUGAAAAUGGCGUUAUAUCAUCUCUCACGGGUCUCUUCUCUCUUAAAAUUCUAUGGAUGGAUUAUAAUCAAUUGAAAGGAUCUUUUAAUUUAAAAGGUUAGAGAUAUUUUUUUUAUCUUCUCAUUAAACUAUUAAUUAAUUUAAUUAUUUAUAUUUAUAAUUAUUGUUUUAAUUAUAUGUUAUUUUUUACUAAUCAGAAUUGGAUACCUUGAGUAAUUUAGAGGUGCUGAGUUUGAGUGGAAACAACAUUACAAAGUUUGUCAGUUCAAAAGGUAUUAAUUAUUUAUUUCUUAACACUUUUUGUUAUUUUGAAUAAAAAAAUUUAAAUUUGAUAUUUAAUUAAAAGUGUAAUAAUACUUAAAAAUUAUUAAAAUCUAAUAGAUAAGAACAUAUUGAAGUGUCUAAAUCAGUCCUAGAUAGACAGGUAUUUAAGCCACAAAUGAAUUACAAUUCUUUUUAUUAUUUAAAAUCAAAAUUUUCAUAAGCCAAAUGGCAAAGUAGUGCUAUUUAUUGAAUAUUAAGCAUAAUACCUGUUCAUCUAAGAUAUUAUAGAAAUUAAAACACACAAAUUAUGUAUUUUUAUAAUCUUGCUCUCAAUUUUUUUCCUCUCAUCACUGCUACUUGUCUAUAUUUCAAUAUAAAAAAAAUUAAAAAAUAAUGACAAAAUUUAUUAAUAAAAUUAUAAAAAAAUAAUUAAUAAAAUAAAUUAUCGAUGAUUCAUUAAUUAUCUAAAAUAUCAAUAAUUAAAUUACUAAUUAUUUAGUGACUAAAUUUUAGAAUUAAUUUUUUUCUUUUUACGUAUAGUGUCUUAUUACAUUAUUUUAAUAUUGUAAUUAUAAUGUCAUAUUAAAUUACAAUUUUUCAUAUCAAUACCUUUUAAUUUAAUAAUAUUAUCUCUAUAAUUAUGAAAUUUUUAAUUCAAAUUAUUCUAGUUAAAGUUAAACAAAACAAUUGAUUAAAAAGAAAAUAAAAAUAUAUUAUGGUAAUGAUUCAAUAUAUUUUGAUAUUGAGAUAAAUUAAAUAUUAUAAAAAUUUUAAAAUUUAAUAACAAUUCUUUUAUAAAUAAAAUUGCAAUCUGAAAUAUUAUUUUUACAACAAUUUCACUAUUCCUUUUCAAUCUUUAAAUUUUUAACUUUUAAGUAUAUUCAUUUUUUAUUUUUAAAAUAUUUAUAGGAUAAAUUAUUCUCUUAUUGUUUAAUUUAUUUUUAUAUAAUCAUAGUGUAUUGUUAAAAAGUAAUUAUUAUAUUUAUCUAUUUCUAUUUAUGCGAUUAAAAUUAUAUAUUAGACUAUUUAAAUUUUGAACUUUAAAGAGUUUUAUGAGUAAUGUUUAAAUUAUUCGUGACUUUCAUAAAUUGCUUAAUAAAAAAUUGAAAUUAGUAAAAUUUAAUGGAUUAUUAUUUUUAUGUUUUAUAUUAUAGUUUCUUAAGCAAUUAUUUUCAUAAUAAAUCUAUUAUAUUCAUAAAUAGAUAUAUUUAUUAACUAUAUAAAAAUGAUGGGUUGAACAUUACUUACAUUAUUGUUCUCUUAAUUUUUAAAGUUUAUUUUAAAUCUAGACCAUUAAUUACAAUGCAAUUGAAGGAUUUAAGCCUUUCAAUGGUAGGUAUAAUUAUUCAUUCAUAAUAUUUUAUUUUAUUUUUUAAAAUAAGUAAAAUAAAAAAUUUAAUGCACAAAAAGUUUUUAUACAUAUGCAGGUGGUGAAGACUUAUCAAAUAUGAGCAAUCUAGAAUUUCUAGACAUGAGUUUCAAUAACCUUGAAAAUGACGUUUUAUCAUCUCUUAGGAGUCUCUCCUUUCUUAAAACUCUAUGGAUGAAUUAUAAUCAAUUUGAAGGGCCUUUUGAUUUAAAAGGUUAGAGAUAUUUCUUUUCUCUUUGUCAUUAAACUACUAAUUCAUUGAAUUAUCAUAUUUAUAAUUAUUAUUUUAAUUAUGUGUUUUUUUACUAAUCAGAAUCAGAUACCAUGAGUAAUUUGGAGGUGCUGAGUUUAGAUGGAAAUAAUAUUACAAAAUUUAUCGGUUCAAAAGGUAUUAAUUAGCCUAUUUUUUAAUACUUUUUGUUAUUUUAAAUAAAGAAAUUUAAAAUUAAUAUUCAGUUAGACAUAUAAUAAUACUUAAAAAUUAUUAAAAUCUAAUAGAUAAAAAUAUAUUGAAGCCGCAAAUGAAUUACAAUUUUUUUUUCAAUUUAAAACAAAAACUUUCAUAAGCCAAAUGGCAAAGUAGUGCUAUUUAUUGAAUAUUAAGCAUAAUACUUGUUCAUUUAAGAUAUUAUAGAAAUUAAAACACACAAAUUAUGUAUUUUUAUAAUGUUGCUCUCAAUUUUUUUUUUCUCAUCACUGCUAUUCAUCUAUUUCAAUAUAAAAAAAUAAAAAAUAGUGAUAAAAUUUAUUAAUGAAAUUAUAAAAAAGUAAUUAAUAAAAUAAAUAAUUAAAUUACAUUGUCUUAAUAAAAAAAACUAAUUUUUUGCUUUUACGUAUAGUGUCUUAUUACAUUGUUUUAAUAUUGUAAUUAUAAUAUCAUAUAAAAAUACAAUUUUUCAUAUCAAUACAUUUUAAUUUAAUAAUAUUAUCUCUAUAAUUAUGAGAUUUUUAAUUCAAAUUAUUCUAGUUAAAGUUAAACAAAACAAUUGAUUAAAAGGAAAAUAAAAAUAUAUUUAUUUAUUUAAAAAGUGAUUAUUAUAUUUAUUUAUCUCUAUUUAUGCGAUUAAAAUUAUAUAUUAGACUAUUUAAAUUUUAAACUUUAAAAUUGAAAAAGAAAAAGCCCUAUGAAUAAUGUUUAAAUUAUUUAGUGACUUUCAUAAACUAUUAGACUUAGAAAAAAAAAAAUUGAAAUUAGUAAAUUUUAAUGGAUGAAUUAGUGAACAAAAUAGGAGAUGAUUAGUUAAUAUUAUUAUUUUUAUGUUUUAUAUUAUACUUUUUUAAACAAUUAUUUUCAUAAUAAAGUUAAUAGAAAUGAUGAGUUAAACAUUACUUACGGAUUUACCACAUUAUUGUUCUGUUAAUUUUUAAAAUUUGUUUUAAAUCUAGACCAUAAUUGAACCACUAGAUUUGGAAAUAAUAAUAAUUGAACCACUAGAAUAUUGAAUUUUUUUUUAAAAAAAUUAUAAAUAAAUAUUUAAUAUAUUUAGUGAAAAUUGUAUUAUUUUUCACUAUUUUGUUACUUAUAGGAAUGAGAAGCUUAAAAAAUUUAAAAGCGCUUUAUCUACGUGGUAUAAAAGGAAGCAACAUGCUAUUAGAGUCAUUGGGAGCAUUCACCAAUCUCGAGACCCUAUAUAUGGGCCAGAGUCAUUUAAAAGGGACAAGAUUUACUCAAGGUUAGUAUUUUUUGUCGUUAUGCUUAUAAUUACUAUUUUUUAUUCAUUAAAAAUUAAUUAAUAGUUAUUCAUUUUUUUGAAACAGGCUCUAAUUUCACCAAUUUGAGAGAGUUAUAUUUAAAUGGCUCUUGGGUGGAUGGAAACUUCCUCCAAAGUCUUGAAACACUUCCUUUACUUGAAACAUUAUCAAUGCCAGACUGUGAACUUAGUGGCAUCUUACCUGUGAACCUAGGUAAAACAAAUGCAGUUUCUUCGUAUUUGAGAUCUCUUUCAUUUUAAUCACAAACUUUAGUUAAAAUAAUUUGUAAAAUCAAUAAUUUUCAGGUAUUUGCAAAUUGAAAUAUCUCCAAAUGCUAAACAUUAGCCACAAUGAUCUCAGUGGUAACUUACCUUUAUGUCUGGUAAAUUUGACUUCUCUUCGACAAUUAGACCUCUCUUCCAAUCAUUUCACUGGAAACAUCUCUUCAUCUCCACUUGAGGGUUUAACAAACCUCGAAUAUCUAUCAGUUUCAGACAAUCUUUUUCAAAUUCCAAUCUCAUUAAGUCCAAUUUUCAACCAUUCAAAACUCAAGUACGUGGAAAGUAGGGGUAACAAAAUAUUUGCAGAAACAAAUGAUCAGUACUUGAACCCAAGAUUUCAGUUGGAGAAGCUUGUAUUAUCUAGUGGUGGAUAUGGCGAAGCAUUCCCCAAAUUUCUCUAUCACCAGCAUGACCUACAAUUUAUUGAUCUGUCGCACAUUCAAAUGAGUGAAGGGUUUCCAUAUUGGUUGUUACAAAACAACACCAAAUUGGAAAAACUUUACUUAAUCAACAACUCUCUAUCAGGAUCUCUGAAAUUACCAAUUCAUUCCCAUAUGAAUUUGUCAGUGUUGGAUAUCUCAGACAAUUUCUUCCAAGGCUUCAUCACACCAGAGAUAGGAACAUAUCUGCCAAAAUUGUCACAUCUAAACAUGUCGGGAAAUGGUUUCAGUGGUAGCAUUCCUUCUUCAUUUGGAAAUAUGAGCUUGUUGGAACGUUUAGACUUAUCCAACAAUAGAUUGUCAGGUACUAUACCAGAGGACUUAACCAUUGGUUGUGUCUCAUUGCAAGAACUCAUACUUUCAAACAACAGUUUGCAAGGCCAAAUAUUUUCUGAAACCUCUAACUUAAGGUUUCUGUAUGAGUUACAACUGGAUGACAAUCAAUUCACUGGCAGCAUUCCACAUAGCUUGUCUAACAGCUCCUUUUUAGAAGUGUUGGAUCUUAGUCAUAACAACUUAUAUGGUAGAAUCCCAAGGUGGCUGGGGAACAUGUACUUUCUUCGCGUUUUGGAUCUUUCAAUGAAUAAUAUCUCAGGAAGUCUACCAUCUAACUUUUGCCCUUCAAUUAUACAAGAGAUUUAUUUGUCUAGAAAUGGGCUACAAGGGUCAUUGGAGGAUGCAUUUUAUGGUUGCUCUGAGUUAACUGUGUUAGAUUUGGGCCAUAAUCAUAUGACUGGAAGCAUUCCAUCAUGGAUUGGAAAAUUUUCUCGAUUGAGCUACCUAAUCUUGGGGCAUAACUAUAUUGAUGGGGAAAUCCCAGUUCAAUUGUGCAACUUGACUCAAUUAAGUUUGCUUGAUCUUUCUCAUAAUCAUCUUUUUGGUCCUAUUCUCCCUUGCCUAAGAUCUACAAGCAAAACAUAUAGGCAGCAAGAAGGUUCAUAUAAUGCUUCUACUGAACCUUUGGAAUUUACAACAAAGAGUAUAUCCUAUUCUUACCAAGGAAGAAUGCUAUCUUACAUCUCUGGAAUUGAUCUCUCAUGCAAUCAUUUGACAGGCCAAAUUCCUAUUGAAAUUGGGUACCUCAAUGAGAUCCAUGUACUAAAUUUGUCUCACAACAGUUUGACAGGAAAAAUCCCAGCAUCAUUUUCCAACUUGCGCCAAAUUGAGAGCUUAGAUCUGUCAUACAACAACUUGGAAGGGAACAUCCCUCCUCAGCUUACUGAGUUAACUUUUUUGGAAGUUUUCAAUGUGUCGUAUAAUAAUUUAUCUGGCAGGACACUUGAUAAGGUUGCACAAUUUGGGACAUUUGAUGAAAGCAGUUAUCGAGGAAAUCCUUUUCUCUGUGGAUGGCCACUGCCAAGAAAUUGUACUGAAAUGGUAUCACCUCCAUCAAAAUCAAGAACUUCAAUUGAGAAUGAAGAAAGCAAUGGCUUCAUGGACAUGGGUGUUUUCUACAUAAGUUUUGGGGUAGCUUACAGUGUGGUGUUGUUGACAAUAGCUGCAGUUCUAUACAUAAAUCCGUACUGGCGACGAGUAUGGUUUUACUUCAUUGAGGUGAGUAUAGAGAAUUGCUAUUAUUUUAUAAUUGACAAUCUUGUAGUUUUAUUCAAAUUUAGAUUUUGUAGCUUACGCAGAUGAAUUCAGCUUGAAAGCAUUCUGCAAGUUUUUUCUUUUUCUGUACUUUCAAUUGACCUCGAGAUUGAAUCUCAAGCAGUGAUGUAAAAUGUGUGUUUGAAAUGCUAUAUUUACACCCAACAUUGAAUUUACUUAAAUCUCUUGCCUUUUUUUCCAACUAAGCUUUCUCAGUCCAAAUCGUCUUUAUUUUAGAGGAGAUUAGUUGCAUUAUUUCUGCAGUGUUGCUAUCCAUGCUUUAGAAAAAAGUCUUUGCAAUUCCUAGUUUGAUUUUACAAAAAUUCUGAAUAAAUGAAUCAAUGAAAAAUAUUUCACACUUAUCCAUCAAUUUGUUUCCACCUAUGGCUUGGCUUCUGAAAACAGAGCAAAUUGUUGGCCCAACCAUAAUCAAUCAAUUUGUUGGUCUGAAUAUGAUAACGAUUUCUGGUUUAAUUUUUUUCCAUUUGUUAAUUUAAGGGUUCUAAAACUCCCAAUCCUGCCAUACAGGCAAGUGAUUACUGAUUGAUGGAAAGCACCUAAGAUGAAGUUGCAUUUCUCUUUGUAAAAUCUCUACUAAGCUGAAGUUGGUACCAUUCUUCCCUAAGGUGAAAAUCUCUCUCAACAAGAUACAAUCCAAAACAUCAGAUUGCUAAUCCACGCAACAAGCAAACAACUAUCUUUUAUUUAUACCAAAGCAAAACAAACUCAGUUCUACUACUAAGUACUAAGAACUAAGACCAGCAUAAGUAGUAGCAUUAUUUACCUUCUCAUGCUCACCCUACUCAAGGGUUAGCAAGCGCAUAUCUGUUCCCCUCCCCACUUAUCUGCCUCACCUUCGAAAUUGGCAGUUCCGCCUCCCAUAGAAUUCAGGAGGCUCUCCUCUGGCAAUGGCUCCCUAUAAUUUAUUAGAAAAUUAUGCAGCAAACAACCGAUUACUAUCACAAAUGAGGAAAAUUCAACGGAAUCCUCUUUCCACUGCCUCCCCAACAGCUGCCACCGAGUUUUAACUCUCCCAAACACAUUACCAACCAAUCCAAUUGCUCUGCUAUGAGCUGCGUUGAACUCCCUUUGAGCUGAUCCUUAUUGGACCUAAUAAAAGAAGUUAAUAGCACAAGGCAACAAAGGGAAACACAAAUCCCUCAGUAUGUAUUGAGGAAUUAAAUUGUUUUCACUAAGCUGAUAACAAGGUCCAUUUGGUAACGCCUUUGAUUUGCGAAUUGCUUUGUUUGGCUGAAGAUGGAUUCCUGCUUCAUUGUACAAGACCACCCAACAGAGAUAUCCAAGAAUCUCCCCUCAGAAUCCACCAACCCUGAACUGACAAGGACACAUUUUCCUCUAGCACUUCACUAUCAAACUUAAUCAGACAUGGACAACAAUUCAGGGUCCAAAUCAUAUCUUAUAUAAGUGCUUGUUUGUGGUUUGAGUCUGCCCUUUUCCUAUUCUGAACUAAAAAACCAGAAGAAAACCCACCGUUUAAAAUCUAGCAGUAUAGUUUCGAUUCAAACAACUAACCUUUCUAUGCUAAAGUGAGAAGAUCUCUCUCAACAGGACACAACCCACAACAUCAGAACGAUGUUGCAACUGCCUUUUAUUUACACAAAAGAAAACAAAGCAAACUUACUCCCACUACUACUAAUGCUGCAACUACCACCAACUAAGAACUAAGACCAGCAUAGUUACUAGCAUUAUUUAUAUUCAUUAUUUACCUUCUCAUGCUCACCCUACUCAAGUACUUAGCAAGCGCAUACCUGUUCCUCUCCCCUCUCUCAUCUGCCUCUCCUUCAAAAAUUGGCAGUUCCUCUUCCCGUAGAAUACGUCCGACGCUCUCCUCUGGCAAUGGCUCGCUAUACUUUAUUAGAAAAUUAUGCAGCAAACAACCCAUUACUAUCACAUAUGGGAAAAAUUCAACGCAAUCCUCUUUCCAUCUCCUCCCCAACAGCUGCCACCUAGCUUUAACCCUCCCAAACGCAUUCCCAACCAAUCCCAUUGCUCUGUUAUGAGCUGCAUUGAACUCCCUAUCUGCUGAACCGAAACUGUCCACCUCAUUCGAUCUAAUAAAAGGAGUUAACAGCCAUGGCAACAAAGGGAAACAUGAAUCGCCCAAUAUGUAUUGGGGAAUUGAACUGCUUUCACUGAGCUGAUAACAAGAACCGUUCAGUAACUCAUUUGAUCCUUCCACACGCGAAUACAGCUUUGUUUGGCUGAAGAUGGACUCCGGCUUCAUUGUACAAGGCCACCCAGCAGAGAUAUCCAAGAAUCUCCCCUCAGAAUCCACCAACGCCUGAACUAACAGGGACCCAUUUUUCCCAAGCACUUCACUAUCAACACCAAAUUUCCCAAACCCCAAAACCCCACAACAAUUAGGGAGUGAAAUCCAUUCAAAUCCGACCACUAAGCGCUCCAAAUCCCUUCCGAAAUUCACCAAGUCCCCCAAUUUCUCGUUCACUGUUUUACAAACAGAGUAAAACGCGAGGCACGCGGCGGCAGGUGAAUCAAGUCCAAAUCUACGCGCUACUGAUUCGUAAGAUGCGCCGUGGGAGAGUCGGAAGAGGGUGGCAGCAAUGGCAGAAUCGGGGGGAAUGGAGGGGGGAAGAAAAGAAAGGAGAGAUGGUGAGAGAACAGCGAGAAGAUUUGAGAAGGUCUGCUUGGACAUGCGAAAAAUUUGACACCAGCGGGGGUCGAAAUCCGAGGCGGAAGAAAGGAAGCGAUAAAAGAAGGAUUCAGAAGGAAGAGAAAUCGGAGGGGAAGAGAAAGGGAUCGAAGAAAGGAGAUAUUCGAGGGUGAGAGAUUGGGAAGGGAGCAGAAGGAGGUCAUUUUGGUUGAGGAAAGAGUGGGCAGCGGAGGUAGCUGAGGUGAGCAGAGAAAUGAGUUGUUUAGUCAAGUGCUUGUUUUGAUUUUUGGAUCUUCUGGGUUUGAAUUUUGUGGUGGAUUUGGGGCUUGUAGGAGCUUUCUGAGCUGUAGACUUGGAGGAUCCGCCGGCGGCGGCCAUAGAGAUCAAGGGUGAAGUUCGGCUGAGUGAUCACAUUGCAAGUGAAAGCUCCGUUUGAUGGCCAGAAAACCGACAGUCUGUUUUUUACAAAAUAUUUGGAAACACCAAAGUAUAGAAGAGUGCACCUUGUAGACAUGUGAGUCUACAAGGUUAGUUUUUUCCUCCAUUUUAUGUGUUUAGCUCAUUCGGAACGAAUGUUCUUAAGGGGGAGAAUGUAAUACCGGCUAGAGUUCGGCAUCGAAAUUCCUACAGUUGGCGGAAUCCCGAAUGUCGAAACCCUCUAGAAGGGAAAUAGAUAUGUUUUUUUAAAGUGUUUUAAUGUGUUUUAAGGUUUUAAGUAUAAAGAAAAUAAGUUUUUGAAAGAAAAGCACUAAGGAAGAAAAGGCAGGUUCGGCCGCCGAAAGUGAUGUUCGGCCGCCGAACGUUGCAUGGUUUUGGAAUCACGUUUGGCCGCCGAAGGUGGUCUGGCCAAGCCACUUAUAAAAGGCCACAUGUCGGUCAAUGGAUAAGAUUUUUCUUUCCAUUUCCACGGAGAGAGGUGAGACCAUGAUCUUCCUUGGAUGAUCUUCAUAGUUUCUCAAAUCUUUCAAAGUUUUGACAAGUUUUGACAAGUUUCAUGAUGUUUUGAAGCUUUUGAGUUAAAGACCAAAGUUUUGAAGCUUGGAGACUUUGAGAGCGAGUUUCUCCAUAUCUCCACGUUAGGAUCGCCUAUUCUCUCGUUUUCAAGAGGUAAGUGAAGAUCCUUAACUUCUUUAUAUGUUUUAUGAAAGUUUUAUGGAGCUUUAUGGGUAGAGAUACAUGGUUAGGUUAAGUAGGGUUUUUGGUUGUUUGUUGGUGAUAGCAUGUUUAUGUGUUGAGUUGUGAUGUUUGAUGGGGUUUUUAAGUUAGUUUUGGACCCCUUUGUGCAUGUACUUGAGUAUAUGCUUGUUGUUGAGUUGUUGGUUGCAUGUUUGAGUGAAGUUUGGAGAAGUUUUGCAUGAAACAGAGAAGGGUUUUGCCUUACUGGAGAACCCAGUUUCGGCCGCCGAAGGAAGAUUCGGCCGCUGAACAUGCUAAGGAGGUGGUUUCGGCUGCCUAAACUCUCCCCCGAAAGUUUGGACUUUCGACUCUGGAGUGGAGUUUCGGCCGCCGAAUGUGCCGCCUAAGGUUGAGACUUUCAUCUCUGGAAAUGACUUUCGACAGCCGAAGGUGCCGCCGAAUGUGUCUGAGUUUCGGCUCUGGAAGGACUUUCGGCCACCGAACCUGCCGCCGAAAGUACCCUGUCCAGCCAUCUUUUACAUGUUUUCCUUGAUUGUUUUAGGAUGUUUUAGGGGGGUUUUGGGGAGUUUUAUAGAGAUGUUCUUGAGUUAGUUUGGUCCAUCAUUUGAGUCCACCUGUGUAGGAACGGACCAGAGGAACCGAAGAGAUCAGCAGUGAGCACUGCUUCAGAGUUUUCAGAGUCAGUACAGAGUUAGCCAAAGGUGAGUGGAACGGAACUUAAUCUUUUUAAUUGAGAAAUCAAAUGCUUUUAACAUGUUUCAUACACCAUGAUUAUGCAAUAGGCUGAUGGCAUUAGAAUUCACUAAUAUGUGCAUUGCAUUAUUUAUUGAAUUUGCGAACGGACAUAGAGUUUGUUUCAUUAGCCCUCCCAGUAAAGUCCUGAGGAGCCCCAUUGAGGGCCGGGCACAGUAAAGUCCUGAGAAGCCCCGAGAGGGCCGGGCACAGAGUACUUUUGUACUAUUGAUUGUAUAAUAAAGUCCUGAGGAGCUCCUUCGCGGGCCGGGCACUGAGGGAUUUUUUAUUCAGUCCGUUCGAUAUGUGAUUACUUGUGAUGUGAUGCAUUUCAUUUGGCAUGUUUAUUAACAUGUUUUUAUUGUUCUACUCACUGGGUUAGUAUAGCUCACCCCUCUUCCUUAACCCCAGUCUUGCAGGUCCAGAGUACAGGGGGAGUUCAGCAGAGUACAGAAAGAGUAAAGAGUUGUGUAAUAGCAUAGUGUGGAUAUGUAAUAAUGUAUAAGAGAUGUUUUGGUAUUGUACAGAGUAUAGUAUUGUGCUUGACCCAUAUGUUUUGUAAAUCCCUUUUUGUAUACAUAGUCUGUUUAUGAAAAUGUUUUAUUGAUGAGUAUGAAAAACUAGGCUUAACAUAUAUAGAGUUAGUGCAUGCACAGGUUGAGCCCUAGUACAGAGCAAAGCUUUAUGUUUUACAGAAAAUGUAUGAUCAUGUAUGAAAUUUUACAGGUACACAGAGAGUAUAGCAUGCUUGCUACGGGUCCCGGCGACCUUAAGUCGAUCUGGAUCCUAGCGCCGGUAGCGGUCCAAUUUUCGGGUCGUUACGUAUGGGCUGAAUUGAUUUAAAAGGGACGAGAUUUGCUGACGGUUGGUAUUUUUUUAUAGUUAUGCUUAUAAUUACUAUUUUUUAUUCAUUAAAAAAACUAAUUAAAAUUUAUUUAUUCUUUUAAACAGGCUCUAAUCUCACUAAUUUGAAAGAGUUGUAUUUAGAUGGCUUCUCUGUAGAUAAAAACUUACUCCAAAAUCUUGAAGUACUUCUUUUCCUUAAAACAUUAUCAAUGUGGAACUGUGGAUUUAGUGGCAUCAUACUUAUGAACUAAGAUAAACGAAUGCAGUUUCUUCUUAUUUGAGAUCUUUUUCAUUUUAAUAAUAAAUUUUAGUUAAAAUAAUUUGUAAAAUCAAUAAUUUUCAUAUAUUUGUUAAUUGAAGCAUUUCCAAAUACUAGACAUUAGUUACAACGAUCUCAGUGGUAACUUACUUUUGUGUCUAGCAAAUUUGACUUCUCUUCAAUAAUUAGACCUCUCUUUCAAUCACUUCAUUGAAAAUAUCUCUUCAUAUCCACUUGGGUUUAGCAAACCUAGGGGUGUAAACGAACCAAACUGGUCGUAAGCUAUUCGAGACUCGACUUGAUAAAAUCUCGAUCGGACUCACUUUUUAGGCUCGUUUAAUAAACAAGCUGAGCUUGAACUUAUCAGUAUUCAACUCGUUUAGGCUCGCUUCGUUUUCAAGUUUAUGAACAAGCUCGCGAAUAAGGUUGUGAGCAUGCUCGUUCACCAAUACCAAUCCCACAUUGAAAGUUGACCCAUCUAAGCAUGUCGGGAAAUGGUUUCAAUGGCAGCAUUCCCUCUUCAUUUGGAAAUAUGAGCUUGUUGGAACAUUUAGACUUAUCCAACAAUAGAUUGUCAGGUACUAUACCAGAGGACUUAACCAUUGGUUGUGUCUCAUUGCAAGAACUCAUACUUUCAAACAACAGUUUGCAAGGCCAAAUAUUUUCUGAAACCUCUAACUUAAGGUUUCUGUAUGAGCUACAAUUGGAUGGCAAUCAAUUCACUGGCAGCAUUCCACAUAGCUUGUCUAACAGCUCCUUUUUACGAGGGUUGGAUCUUAGACAUAACAACUUAUAUGGCAGGAUCCCAAGGUGGUUCUUCGCGUUUUGGAUCUUUCAAUGAAUAAUAUCUCAGGAAGUCUACCAUCUAACUUUUGCACUUCAAAUAGACAAGAAAUUUAUUUGUCUAGAAAUAGGUUACAAGGGUCAUUGGAGGAUGCAUUUUAUGGUUGCUCUGAGUUAAUUGUGUUAGAUUUGGGCCAUAAUCAUAUGACUGGAAGCAUUCCAUCAUGGAUUGGAAAAUUUUCUCAAUUGAGCUACUAACCAUAUUGAUGGGGAAAUCCCAGUUCAAUUGUGCAACUUGACUCAAUUAAGUUUGCUUGAUCUUUCUCAUAAUCAACUUUCUGGUCCUAUUCUCCCUUGCCUAAGAUCUGCAAGCAACUCAUAUAGGCAGCAAGAAGGUUCAUAUAAUGCUUCUGCUCCUGUUUCUAUGGAUGAACAUUCGGAAUUCACAACAAAGAGUACACCCUAUUUUUACCAAGGAAGAAUGCUAUCUUACAUCUCUGGAAUUGAUCUCUCGUGCAACCAUUUGACAGGCCAAAUUCCUAUUGAAAUUGGGUACCUCAAUGAGAUCCAUGUACUAAAUUUGUCUCACAACAGUUUGACAGGAAAGAUCCCAGCAUCAUUUUCCAACUUGCUCCAAAUUUUCAGGGGCGUUACUCCGCCCCUGGUUGUAUCUUGGCUUGUCCUCUAUGGAUAGAAACUUCCUCCCUCCAAAAUCUUGAAACACUUCCUUCACUUGAACUUUUGUCUUUGAUUUAUUUGAAUUUUACCAUAGCAAUCAAAACUUCUCCCUCUUCUGCUUAGAAGAAAAAUUGAUUCCAUUUUAACUUAGUAAAUAACAUGAAAUAAUUAAAAUUCACAUUACGUAUCCGUUUUUCCAUAUAUAUUUAAAUUUAUUGUUGAUUAAUGUAUUAUUUCUAUUAUUAUAGGCUUGCCACGUAUGAAGAAUUUACAACACUUGUUUUUGAAUGACUCCACGAUGAACAAUAACUUUGUACGAACGACUGGAAUUUUGUCAUUCCUUAAAACAUUAUCAACACAGUUCUGUGGACUUAAUAGCAGAAUUUUUGUUAUCCAAGAUAAAGUGAAUUUGAGAUAUCUUCCACAUUAUUUGGAUAUUUUAGCUAAAUCAUUUAUAAAUGAAUAAUUAAUUUUAGGUAUAUGCAAAUUAAAACGUAUCCAAAUGCCAGAUAUUAGCUACAAUAACCUUGGUGGUAGCUUACCAUUGUAUCUAGCAAAUUUUACUUCUAUUCUACAGUUGGAUCUCUCCAAUAAUCUCUUCAGUGGAAAUAUCUCUUUAUCUCCUCUCAAGAUUUUAACAACCCUUCAAGACUUAGAUCUCUCUAAUUUCUUUCAAAUCCCAAUCUCACUAAGUCCAUUCAAAGCUCAAGUACUUGAAAAGUUCGGAUAACAAAGUGUUUGCAGAGGCACAUCAUCAGUCUUGGAAUCCAAGUUUUCAAUUAGAGAGCCUUAUUCUAUCUGGUGAUGGAUAUUGUGGAGCAUUCUCCAAAUUCCUCUACUAACACCCUAACCUGAAAUUUGUUGAUUUGAAUGUGUUGUUGAUUUGUCGCACAUUCAAAUGAGAGAACAGUUUUCAUCUUGGUUGUUGCACAACAACACAAAACUAGAAACACUUUACUUAAUCAACAAUUCUCUUUCAGGGCCUCUCCAAUUACCACUUUAUUCUCAUGUGCACUUGUCAUACUUAGAUAUCUAAGAUAAUUUCUUCAGUAGCUCUGUUCCAAUAGAGAUUGGAACGCAUUCGCCCAGAUUGACAUAUCUAAUGAUGUCAAGGAAUGGUUUCAGUGGUAGUAUUCCAUCUUCAUUGGAAAUAUGAGCUUAUUGGAAAGAUUAGACUUAUCCGAAAAUAGAUUGCAGGUAGCAUACCAGAGCACUUCACCACUGGUUGUGGCUCAUUAUACUUUCAAACAACAGUUUGCAAGGCCAAAUACUGGGAAAUAUGAGUUUGCUAGAAAGUUUAGAUUUAUCCAACAACAAUUUCUCUGGAAGCAUCCCAAGUAGCCUGUUAAAAUGUAACGAGUUUAAAAUAAUGGGUGUCAAUUAUAAUCAUCUCUCUGGUAAGAUUCCUAAUUGGAUAGGGAAUUUGUCUCAACUUCAAAUUUUACAUCUUUCACAGAACAACAUUUUUGGAAGUUUAUCAUGCAAUUUCUGCCCUAAAGAUUUCACAGAAGUCCAUUUGUUUAAAAAUAUGCUGCAAGGAUUGUUAAAGGAUUCAUUCCAUAAUUGCCCUUCAUUGGUGGUGUUGGAUAUUAGCCAUAAUAAUUUGAUAGGGAGAAUUUCAAAAUGGAUCGGAGAGAUUCCGUUGAGUUAUAUUCUUUUGAGUCAGAAUCAUUUUGAAGGUGAAAUUCCAAUUCAGCUAUGCAAGUUGGAUAAGUUAAGCUUAAUUGAUCUUUCUCAUAACAAUCUUUCUGGUCAUAUUCCUCAUUGCCUAAGCUGUAGUAGUUGGUAUGAGAAACGAGAAAAGUCUAAUCAACCUAGUAGAUUUUUUAACCCAGAAACUGGGGUUUCAGUGCGACUCAUGUAUUCUUCCUAUUUUUACCAGGCAAUCAUCCUUCGCUAUUUCUCUGGUAUCGACCUUUCUUGUAACUUUUUGAGAGGUGAGAUUCCUCCUGAAAUUGGAAAUCUCAGCAUGAUCAAGGUGUUGAAUUUGUCCCACAACAAGUUGAUCGGAGCAAUCCCAUAACAUUUUCAAACCUGGGGCAAAUUGAGAGCUUGGAUCUUUCUUACAACAAUUUGGAAGGGAAAAUUCCUCCUCAACUUACUCGGCUAUAUUCCCUAGCUGUAUUCAGUGUAGCACACAACAACUUUUCAGGUAAAACAUCUGAGAGGCUUGCACAAUUUGCAACAUUUGAGGGAAAUCCUUUGCUGUGUGGACUGCCACUGCCGAAGAGUUGCAAUAACAUAUCUCCGCUGUCACCUGCAACUCCAAUAGAAGAAAAAGAAGAUAACGAUUCCUCUGCUGUCCAAAUUUGGAUUUUCAUAGAAUUGAGGAUGUACAAGUUCAAUGCUUGAUUAUUUGUGUUUUCCA
rnacentral:lncRNA from 1 species